UUCGGGGGUAAACGGACAGAGCCCGUGAAUCCGGGCCAACGAAUUCAAGAUCGAUCGCGUUUAUCGCGUGGUCAGUUUGAUUUUUCGCUGGUCGCGGACGUUGCGACCCGUUUGACGUUGGAGUCAAGAGACGAAGCGAAGUUCUCGCGUAUUCAUCUUCGGAUGGCGGUAUGUGAGAGGCUCGUUUUCGAACCGACUUGUUCGACGGUAUAAAUGGUGUCCGCAGAAUUUUCUCGGUACCGGUCUGCAACGAUUCUUCGGGCCUCUUUCCGACCCGUCUUGAAACACGGACCAAGGAGUCUAACGUGUGCGCGAGUCACGGGGUUUCGCCGACGUUUAUUUAUAAAUGGUCGGCGUUAAUAAACGAAACCCGAAGAAGGCGUAAUGAAAGUGAAUUACACGAUUGAAGGAAGAUAGCGUCUCGAGUACACCUUCUCGGUUUAACCGGGACCGAGCGCUCGCACUCCUGGGGCGUCCCGUAAGCCCGACAUCGCAUCUGUUCGCCGUGAAGCGGUGAACGAUAGUUGUCGAUCUGGGGCGCACUCAUAGCGUACACGUUGGUACCCGAAAGAUGGUGAACUAUGCCUGGCUAGGAUGAAGUCAGGGGAAACCCUGAUGGAGGUCCGCAGGGAUUCUGACGUGCAAAUCGAUCCUCAAAGCUGGGCUUAGGGGCGAAAGACUUAUCGAACCAUCUAGUAGCUGGUUUCCCUCCGACUCAAAA
rnacentral:rRNA from 1 species